AGAUUGAACUGAAGAGUUUGAUCCUGGCUCAGAUUGAACGCUGGCGGCAUGCCUUACACAUGCAAGACGAACGGCAGCGCGGGGUAACCUGGCGGCGAGUGGCGAACGGGUGAGUAAUAUAUCGGAACGUACCCUGGAGUGGGGAAUAACGUAGCGAAAGUUACGCUAAUACCGCAUACGAUCUAAGGAUGAAA
rnacentral:rRNA from 1 species